AGCGAACGCUGGCGGCAGGCCUAACACAUGCAAGUCGAACGAACCCUUCGGGGUUAGUGGCGGACGGGUGAGUAACACGUGGGAACGUGCCUUUAGGUUCGGAAUAACUCAGGGAAACUUGUGCUAAUACCGAAUGUGCCCUUCGGGGGAAAGAUUUAUCGCCUUUAGAGCGGCCCGCGUCUGAUUAGCUAGUUGGUGAGGUAAUGGCUCACCAAGGCUACGAUCAGUAGCUGGUCUGAGAGGAUGACCAGCCACAUUGGGACUGAGACACGGCCCAAACUCCUACGGGAGGCAGCAGUGGGGAAUCUUGCGCAAUGGGCGAAAGCCUGACGCAGCCAUGCCGCGUGGAUGAUGAAGGUCUUAGGAUUGUAAAGAUCUUUCAGGUGGGAAGAUAAUGACUGUACCACCAGAAGAAGCCCCGGCUAACUCCGUGCCAGCCGCCGCAGUAAAAC
rnacentral:rRNA from 1 species